rnacentral:rRNA from 1 species
UACAGAGGUCCCAAGCGUUGUUCGGAUUCAUUGGGCGUAAAGGGUGCGUCGGCGGCGCGGUAAGUCGGGUGUGAAAUCUCGGAGCUUAACUCCGAAACUGCAUUCGAUACUGCCGUGCUUGAGGACUGGAGAGGAGACUGGAAUUUACGGUGUAGCGGUGAAAUGCGUAGAUAUCGGGAGGAAUACCGAUGGCGAAGGCAGGUCUCUGGGCUGACACUGACGCUCAGGCACGAAAGCGUGGGGAGCAAACAGG